rnacentral:lncRNA from 1 species
CGGGAUAUACUUUAUUUGUGAUCUAGAUUAUUAUUUAUUGUAUGAUUUUGUGGUUUGUGUUUUUGAUGUAUAUGAAAAUGAUUUUUAUCUUUUUGGAUAUUUUAGGUGAGAAUGAAUUAUAUGUGAUAAUAUGUAUUUUGUUUAUUUACAAUAGUUGUUUCUAUAUUAAAGAGUUGUGGUAUUAAUAUACUGUAAAGGCUUCAAAUAGUCUUCAUGCUGUUUUCUUUUACAAAAAUUUGAUCCCAUAUUUCAUGCAUUCUUCAUGUUUUCAUGUGCAAGCAUAGCAAAAUUAUGGCAUAUAGAUGAUUUCAUACGAAGAUGUUUAGUCCUUGUUUCGGUUUUGUUUCAAAGCCAAAAUUGUUGUUUUUCCUAAUAUCAAUUUUUUUUUAUAGAUUAAGUAAAUAUUUAAUUACUCAAUCUCAUACACUGACUUUUACGGUUAGUGUACCUAAAUAUUGGUGAAAUUAAGCAAAAAAGAGAUUAGUAUAGUUAAAUGUAAUAUUUAUUCUAAGAAUUUUCAUUUGUUUGGUUUAUAUGAUAAGUUUGGUAAUAUUUAAUUAUUGAUCCAUGUUUUGUUAAGAUUAGUGGAGAAUGAUAAUUUUUAUGGGAUAAUUAUGUGGGUUGAGACUUUUUUUUUGUUUUUUUGUUGUUGAAUGAGAAUGAAAAUGAAAAUGAAAAUGUUUAUGUGCAUGACAAAAUAAUAUAAAUAAACUUAUAUUAUAAAAUUUUAAAUAAAUUUUAUAUAUUUAAUUUCGUUUCAAUAAAAUUUUAAACUAACAUUAAUCUCAAUGUUUGAUACUUUUUUUUUCCGCCAAAGGAUUUUAAUAUUUAGAGGAAGCGGGCCAAGCCCAGUACAAC